GGAAUCAUCCACGAAUCCAAGGAGGCCACGCACACCCUUUUAAAAAAAAUUAUUUAUUUAUGAGAGACACAGAGAGAGGCAGAGACACAGGCAGAGGGAGAAGCAGGCUCCAUCGAUCCUAGGACCCCAGGAUCACGCCCUGGGCCCAAGGCAGGCACCAAACCGCUGAGCCACCCAGGCUGCCCCAUGCACACCCUUUUAACUUGACCAGACUAAGCCGGUCAAGGCUGCUAUCUCCGCAUCUUCGUCCUCAUCUUGAUAACACAGAACUUGGGGGGCUUGCCUGUUUGGCCUUUGAGGUGGUCAGUAGUCUUUUGUACACGUGAUAAAUCGUUACGUGGGAGUGUGGUGAUGGGACCCUAACUCUUUCAGGUCUGAAGCAACUGAAAUGGGUUUUGGAUGCCACAAAAAGAUCUCACCCGAACCCUGUGCAGCUCGGUGAAAGUGCAAGUCUAGUGCUGGAUGUCCUUUCUCAGUGUGCUCCCAGCACCCUGGGCUCAAUUCUGUUUAACUCCCCACUCUGGGCUCUAACUGCUUCCUGCUCCCAGAAGAGCCCUGUGGGAUCCAGGCCAGUGUCUUAACUGAUUUCUGCGUCCCCAGCACUGCGUGGAGCCUGGCACAAGGUAGGAAUCUAACAAAAAUUUGUUGAAAGAAGAAAUACAGAGUGAUGAGAGUGGCCGAUAGAUACACGAACG
rnacentral:lncRNA from 12 species